CGGGGCUGAGCUGGAGGAGAGGUCACAUGUCACAUGUAAUUACCUGGAAGGAGAUUUGUUACAGUGUGCCACCCCAGUAGUAAGGAGAUUACAUGUGGAGGAGUUAGAAAAGGAGAAAUUGAUAAAAAGAAGUGAAAUCCAGAUUGACAUGGUGACCUUGUAUCUGCAGGAGUUGGGACAAGACUGUCAAUCUUUCAUUCUCUGUUGAACAAGAUAAUAAAGUCGAGGACCUGAAACCAGCCAUAGUGAAAAUCUACGAUUACUAUGAGACAGAUGAACAUGCAGUUGCAGAAUACAAUUCCCCUUGCAUUGGACAUAACUAAUACAAAUCAAGGAAACAAAAACAAUCAAAACUCAUUAUAUGUGCACGUUUGUUAGCAUUUUUACUGGGCCAGUGUAUCUAGAAAGAAAACGAUGCAAAAAAAACUAUGUAACUCUGGACAGUUCCUGACUGGACAGAGGUGUCAGCAGAGAGCACUGUGGUCAGACAGAAAAGAAAUUCAAAAAGAAAAGAACUUGCUGUGGAGCAUACAGCAGCUGAUAGGUAACCGACUAUAUGUGCAAUGUCGGCACGUCUACAGGCUUCAGAGCAGAAGUUCAAUACCAGAUUCAUAAAAACCUAAAUAAAUAAAACAUUUAGUUAUAUAUGCAAAA